AAAACCUAUGCCUGCCCACACAAGCACAAAUAGGAAGAAACAUACCAAAAUGCUAACAGUGCUCAUCACUGCAAGUUAUAUUUAUUGGGGAUGCUUUCCAAAUUAUGUUUUCUAUAUUUUUCAAAUUUUCUGCAAUGCAUGUGUCAACUUUAUAAUGAGAGAAAAGUACUUAGCAUAUUUGAAGAGCAGUUAUAUGCUGAAUGAGCGGUAGAUUCAGGGAUGACUUGAAGCUGGAACUGCUCAAGAACAGCUUCCCAAUGAGGUGUGACCUUCUCUCUGGGAGUGUCCAGGUCUGCACUGGGUGGGGGAGUUGAACAAGAGAGUGGCCAAGUGUGAGAAAGGUUGGGAUGAAAAGGAAAAUGACCUUUACUGAGCAUCUGCUACAGACUGGUUUCUAUGUUCCAAAGCUGAGAUUAAAAAUCAAAAUAACUUCUGCAAUGAACUAAAGCUGGUAAGUGUUGGAGCUGAGACCUGAAUCCAGGACUUCCUGGCUCUGAAGCACAAAUUUGAAGCAGCCUUCUUCACCUGCAGGAGCCAGGCCUGCAUCAGUCAUCUGUUUAUAAGGCCAACAGCCUGAUCACCUCUUGCAAUCAACCAACAGAUGCUGAAAUCACAUUCUGUGGGCAGCUGCAUCAUUGAACAUUGUCUGGAGCCUGCUCUAUUUUGAAAGAACUCUUUGCUGCAUGCUCUAGGGCACAGAUGGAGGCAGCAUCAUAGGUGGGUUAAGGAGUUACCUCAUCUUUGGCACAACCUGCUAAGCUAACCUGAGUACUCCCAGCCAUUAUUCCACAAGCCUCUACCGAGUGCCUCCUGUAUGACAAGUGUCAUGGAACUCAUAUCAACAGCAUGCAUUUCCUGGAGGCACAGUUCAAUAGAGAGCUGGGGGUGAAAAAAAAAAGAGAAAAGAAAAAAUAAGAAAGCUAUAACAUUUGAGCUUGAAAUGUCACAGGGAGCCAAGGAAGUUGUCUGAUGGAUUGCCCUGUCAUCGCCAAGCCAAAAGAAAAAAAACUUUCAGAUCCAUCAAUUUGUUCCUGCCCUUUUAAUCCAAACAAUAUUUUACAGCAUCAGAACGCAAAGAAAUUAUUUUCUUAGACAUUCAACUCCGCAUGUGGACUGCUGAGCACUUAACCAGAAAGCAGCAAGUGAGAACUGUAGGUUGUUCAAGUGUCUGCACAUCUGAUUGAUCCAGAUUGAAUGUAUAAUAUACUGGAACACAUAUGAGAGCCUACUGGUGACAUAUGUUCAUUCAUUCAUUCAUCCAUGAGGAGUUGACAUCUCUUUGCCAUAGACAAUGAAUUUGAAGAGACACCUGUGUACACGUGCACCAGCUGCCCAGGAUGAGGACUGCUCCUGCCUGCUCUGGACCUGCUCCUCCCUUUGGCUGGCUUUCCAAUUAGUGUAGACCUGUUCUCCAGUAUCCCAGCCUCUCCUCGGGCCACAUUUGAGGAUACCACCAUCCACCCCUUGGAUCAAAUGUUUGGCUCUUGGGCUCAGACCGUGUUGGGAUAUAGCUUUAUUUGCAAAGUAGGCUGAAAAAUUCCCUCUCCUGACAAGGAAAGCUGAUUGGCAGUAUGAAGAGUACAUUGCAGAAGUUUUGAGGAGGACAAGCACUUACAAUGGCUUUACAAGGAUGGCUGGCCAAGUGAGAUAGAAUUUAACAUGGGUAUUUGUCAGCCCUCAAACAAGUCCUGCCUUCUUUCCUCCAGGUCUUUAUUCACACUGCUUCUGCCUCCUCUAAGCAAUCCUUCCUGAUUUCCCCCGUCCCCUCAGUCAGUGUGCUCUCUCCCUGUCCCCUUGUUGUUGGUUCCUCUAUCUUGGUGAUCUGCUUUGCAUGUGAACGACCCAUGUGUGCGUCUAUUUCUCUCACUAUAUUGUAAUAUCCAUGGGGCUUAACUGUGUCUGUAUUCCUACACGAUGUCUAGCACAAGGAAUAAUAAAUCUUUAUUACAAUGACUUGAAUGGGAAGAAAUGUAAAGUGGGCAUGUCCUGUAUUGCUUGUGGGAUAAGUGGAGUCAUCAUCUGUUUGUUCAUACAAAGACUUGUACAUGAAUGUUCAUGUGAGCCUUAUUCAUAAUCGCCAAAAACUGGAAAUAACUCAAAUGUCUACAUCAAUGCAAUUGAAUACUACUCAGCGAUAAAAAGGAAAGAACUACUGGCGUAUGCAACAACAUAGAUUAAUCUCAAAGGCAUCAUGCUAAGUAAAAAGUCCAGACAUAAAAAACUGUAUACUGUUAGAUUCUAUUUAUAAGAAAUUCUAGAAAAUGAAAAACUGUAGUGACAGAAAGCAGACUAGUGGCUGUAUGGGACAACAGAUGGCAGGAAGUGGGUUGAAACAGUGGGAACAUUAUUUGUUCCCGGGGACACAGGGAAGUAAUAGAAAUGAACUAAUCCUGAUUGUGGUGAAAUUUGCACAGCUGUGUUCAUAUUCUCACACUCACCAAACAGUAUAUUUAAAAUAGAUGAAUGUUAUUGCAUAAAAUUAUACUUCCAGAAAGCUAUAGAAGAAAAUUGGCCAGAAUGUGAAGGAUUUUGGGUGCAACUUAAGAUGUUUGAAAUCUAUCAUUGGCUAUAGAAGCACUAAAAUGUUUGAAGAAGGGAGAAAUGGAUGGUGUUGGAGAGAAGAUACUGGGUACAAGAGUUUUUUUGUUUUUUUUUGUUUUUUUUUUGGUUUUUUUGAGAAGGAAUCUCACUCUGUCACCCAAGCUGGAGUGCAGUGGCGCUAUCUCAGCUCACUGCAAGCUCCACCUCCUGGGUUUGCGCCAUUCUCCUGCCUCAGCCACCCGAGUAGCUGGGACCACAGGCGCCUGCCACUACACCCGGCUAAUUUUUUGUAUUUUUAGUAGAGAUGGGGUUUGUCCAUGUUAGCCACGAUGGUUUUGAUCUCCUGAGCUCACGAUCUGCCCGCCUUUGCCCCCCGAAGUGCUGGGAUUACAGGCAUGAGCCACUGUACCUGGCCAAGGCUUUUUAAUGAAUUAUGAAAUAGAACAGAGAAGAUUAUGGCCUAGGUAAAGGUGGGAACAAAGGAAAUAGAAAUGAUCAGAUGGAUGCAGGAGACUCAGCAAUGAAAUAAUCACAGACCCUGCGAUUGAGGACUAAAAAGAUGCAUGUUUUGGCUGAGCCUUUAGUUUGAUGAUCUUGGUGAGAGAUGCUUGUACAAACCUGGAGCCAGCUUGGGGAGAAAGUGGGUGGAUCCAAGGUCCCGAAUUCUACCAUGGAAACAAAUUUAGAAACUUGGUUUAAGCUAGAUGCCAAAUUGAUUCCACAGGAUUGCCAAAUAUUAGGAGGGCAGGGACAAAGAUACUGGCAUUAGUGAUGUGAGGAGGCAUGAGACUCCAUGUGGAAAUGGAGGCUUAUGGACAUGGAUUCCUUUUGUAAGGGCCUGCCCUCAGGAAGCCUCUCUGUCUGCCAGGUGAAACGUGUAAGAGGGAGCCAAGGAACUAAAGGGAUGAUUUAGGCCUGAGUGCCAGAGAGCAUUGCACCACCACUGAUAGACCCGGAGAACCCAGAAUGGGAGAUGCUCAGGGACAGUGGUGGUGAAGAGAAAAUACAGAAAGGGAACUUUGAUGGCAUCCAGUCCUACCUACCUCGCCAAAGAAGACACUUCUGCUAUGUCCCCAGUACCAUUUGGGUUGAGCAUUCUUCUAGAAACAUGAAGUCUACUGCUUUGUGAAGAGUUGGCUCCAUUACUGGACAGCUCUAAAUGCAGGUGAUGAUGAUGACGAUGAUGAUGAUGAUGAUGAUGAUGAUGAUGAUGAUGAUGAUGAUGAUACAAAGAGGAGCAGGAGAAGAGGACAGCUAACAUGUAUUGAGCAGUCUCCUUCUGCCGGACAUUCUUCUAGGCUGUACAUGCACUGUCUUAUUUAAUCCUCAAAAUAACACUAUAAGAUAGGCACUAUAAUUAUCUAUCCUCGUUUUGCAGAUGACAAAAUGAAGGCACAGAGAAAUGAUAUAGCUUGCUCAAGGUCAUACAGAAGUGGUCGACCUGGGAUUUGAACCCAUGUCAUCUGAUGGCAGAGCCUUCACAAGACUGGCAUGUGUUGCUUGCUAGUGAUUCCAUAUCUACCUGUCUGUAAUUUCUGUCUAAUUCCAUUUUCUGUAGGAAUUCAAAUCAGUAAACAGAAACUUUUUUGCAUCUUUUCAAAUGUGUUAAGACAGCAAAGUGUACAUUUUCUCUGGAUUUUCUCUUCUGUAUGUUAAAUACAUCCAUUCUAUCAAGUGUUCCAUAAGAGGAGAUCAUUCUAGUGCCCUUACCAUCUUGGUGCUCCUUAUUGAAUAUCCCUGAGUUGGUAAUAAUUCUCACUGAAGGUGAAAGCUAGAAGUAAACACAGUACUCCCAGUAUGAUUCAAUCUGAAUGGAGUAAAAUAAGAGAAUGUAGUGCAUUAUGGUUCCCUGUGUGGGGGUAGAGCAGAUGGCAAGAAGACUAGGCCUGGAGAAAAGCCCACUGUAAAAGGAUGGGGUGAUACUGAAUCAGAAAAGAAGACGAAACAAUGAGUUUAAGGAGGAUAAGAACUGAGAACUUAAACAGAUCUGCUGGCUUAGGGAGAGUCAUUGGGAAGAAAUGCAGGAGCUAUGGAAAUAGUAGGUAAUGAGCCAGCAGGAGGGACUACGUGUUGUCCUCUCUGGUUACAAAAGGAAAGGGAAAAGGACAGUGGCUGGUGGGAGGUGGAACAGACAGAAGGAUCAAGUAAGAGGUUGUUUACAUGCUAGGAAAGUGAGGAUGGUGCAUAAGGCAGGGAAAGGAUUGUCAAUAGAGAGGAAAGAAUGCACGAAGAGGGAAAGACUGAAGUUGCUGCAGCCAGAGUCAGAUGGAGACAGCAGGUGAGAUGAAAGGUAAAGGAAGCACUUUGUGGGUAGAGACAGCAAUAUCUGAAGGUGCAGAGAAGGAGGGCUGAUAACACCUCUCACAUACUGCUUCAUGUUGUGCAAAGGUUUUCCAUGUUCAUUAUCUCAUGGGAUCACACACCAGUCCUGAGAGGGGAAAUACUACUAUUUGUAGUUUACCAUGGAAGACAAUGGAGAGUCAAAGAAGGUAAGUGACUUCCCCAGUGCUAUGAAAGGAAUACAAUUUUCUGAUUUCUUGUCCCUUUUUCUGAGUCUAUGACUACAGCCUAUUACACUGUGUCCCAGAGAGCUCAGUAAGAUGUGAAUCAAGACCAUGUCCCAAAAGGGAACCAAGGGAAGUGAAUUGUUGAGAGAAAUUAGGAACUAAGGAGAGCUGGGAAAAUUGAGCACAUUGCUUAGAAAAGGGGUCAAUGAGAAAUAGAGAGUUGGUCUGUCAACAUCAAGAGCAUCAAGGAAGAUAGCCUAAGUCUGCACUAAUUUAAAGGAAGCCAACCCCAACCUACUCCUGUGUCCUGAGAAACAAUACUCCACCCAUUAAUCCCACUGAAUUUAAUGAAUGCCACAGUGUAUCAGAGAAACAGUAGGUGACUCAGAGCAGGAGCAGGAGUUUUGUGCGGCCAGACACAGGGUACAAGGUAUAAGAUGUACAUGAAUCAGGAUGAUGGUCAUGCCGGGCAGGAUGUUACCAAAGAUUGAUGUGCCUGCAAAGGGACCCAUAGGAAAGAAAGAGGACUCGGUGGAAGGGGGUGAUCUGAGAAGGUUUCUGGGGACUGCUGAGCCCAGAAUUUCACACAUGUAUAAGCAUGGUGGUGAGAGUAGCUACAAAAAUUAAGAAACCUUAAUGUUAGUGAAUGUGUUUGGCUGAAGACAAGUCCUUUUACUAAAAGGGCUGUAAAGCUCUCCCAUAAGGGUUGGCAAAGGAAGCCUUUGUAAAAUCUGGUGUGGAGAAGGGGCAUGAUGAGUCAACAUGGCAUUGAAACUGUCCAUGAGAAAUCAGGUUAGGAGGCUAAUGAAACACGGUGUGAAGGCCUAAACUAGGGUUCUGGCAAUAAUGAUAGGAAAAAAUGUUAUGAAAGGGAUAAUAAAUUGAUUUGGUUACUGAAUAAGACAUAGAGAAUGAAGGAGAAGACAGAAGUCAAGAAUGAGUCUUGAUCAUCAAUGAAAUCAUAGCAAUGUUGAUGGAUAAAUAAAAAUUAGAAGAGUCAUAGUUAAUGAGGAGAGGAGAGCUUAAGAGAACACAGGGAGAUAUGCAUAGAUACCUGGAGACACAGUCUGAUGUUCUCAUCAGUGAUCAGGUCUAAGUGAUGAGAUUCAGAGGUCAUCUAUAAGGAGAGACGUAUGACUCCUUGAGUGUGGGGAACAAGGUAGAGAAGCAGAAGGCCAUGGUCUGAGCCUUGAGUGACAUCAGAGAAAUUUUCUAUCUGCUAGGGAAGUGGGAAGAAACAUUUCAAUUAAAAAGCAUUUCAAUUCAAUAAUGAGAGAUACUGGAAAAAGAAGCUGAAGGCAUCAAAACUUAGAGAUGGUAAGGAAGUCG
rnacentral:lncRNA from 10 species